ensembl:lncRNA
GCUAAAGCCCACAUUUUUCUUCCUCUGUUUCCAGAUCAGAGACUUCCCAGUUGCAGAGAGAGGGAUGUGCCACUUCCCAUGUUGCAUCGGACCACCAUGGUCAGCACUGCUAUCUGUAAGGAAUCUGGAGGCUCCCUUGUACGUGAGGUCUGUGCAGCCCUUUCCAGCAUCAGAAUGUCAAUGCUGCAUUUUGUUCUGCUGAGCUGAAGCACAGUCAAAGCAGCCAGAUGGUGUUCAAAACAGCACCAUCAGAACAACCAAGGGUAAGAAAUGUGCAGAAUUGAACUUGUCUUGACUUGAUUGAUCAAAGUCUGUAAACAGAAGUCUGUAAACAUGAAA